GUGUUUCCUAGAGUCUCGGCGUUUCUACCUCUUCGCACCCUUUCCUGCCACCCUUUGUCCCCUGGAAGCCCGGAGACAUCAGCGGCUGCAAUUUUGCUACUCGCUGCUCGGCGUGGAACUGUCAGGUACCGCAGUUCAGCACUUUUGGCAGGACAAAAAAUAAUAUCCAAAGAUAUUUUGGCACUAACGGCGCUAUCUGUAGCAAGAAAGUUGAGCAGUGUGAACUGUUGAGACUUCCAAGGAGACUUCAGACAACCAAGACAGUGUAAAGGAAAACAGAGAAAAAGACUUGUUAGACAUUAUUAAGGGCACGAAAGUUGAAUUGAGCACAGUAAAUGUACAAACAACAAAGCCACCCAACAGAAGUUCACUUAAAAGCUACAACUGGCGGGCCUCAAAGAGCUUUAGGACAUGCUCCAAAGAAGAGGAUGAGCCCCUGAGUCCUGAGUUGGUGGCAGCUGCAUCUGCUGCUCUGUUUUGACAAGCAAACAAGCCAGAACUGCUCAGGCAGCUCCGUAGCAUGAGGAAGAGUCAGGGGCACAGAGAGAUGGAGAGAGACCUAGUAGUUUCAAUAACAAAAUAUCAGAUAUGAAAAUUGCCAGAUGUGCUACAGCUAGAAUUAAUAUAAGGCCAGAGCAUCAGAUUCAGUUUGACCAAGGCUAUGACAAUUAUCCUGGCCUGGAGAAGACUGCUGAUCUUAGAAAGGAAAAAUAUAUUCAGGGGGAAGAGAUGUAAUAGAUUUCACAUUAUGGCAGUUACUAAAGAAGCACGUGACAGACACAUCACCUUCACUUUGGGAUAUGGAAUUUGAUAAGCAGUUAGCCACAGAAUAUGAACAACCCCUUGAGAAUGAGAUUGAAGAACUGAUCCAGGGGACAAAAGAGGGGAAACUGAGAGUUCCCAAUUAAUAAUGAAGCAG
rnacentral:lncRNA from 1 species